ACCCUUUAAUGUUUGAUGUUCUAACGUGGACCCGUGAUCCGGGUUGCGGACAGUGUCUGGUGGGUAGUUUGACUGGGGCGGUCUCCUCCUAAAGAGUAACGGAGGAGCACGAAGGUUGGCUAAUCCUGGUCGGACAUCAGGAGGUUAGUGCAAUGGCAUAAGCCAGCUUGACUGCGAGCGUGACGGCGCGAGCAGGUGCGAAAGCAGGUCAUAGUGAUCCGGUGGUUCUGAAUGGAAGGGCCAUCGCUCAACGGAUAAAAGGUACUCCGGGGAUAACAGGCUGAUACCGCCCAAGAGUUCAUAUCGACGGCGGUGUUUGGCACCUCGAUGUCGGCUCAUCACAUCCUGGGGCUGAAGUAGGUCCCAAGGGUAUGGCUGUUCGCCAUUUAAAGUGGUACGCGAGCUGGGUUUAGAACGUCGUGAGACAGUUCGGUCCCUAUCUGCCGUGGGCGCUGGAGAACUGAGGGGGGCUGCUCCUAGUACGAGAGGACCGGAGUGGACGCAUCACUGGUGUUCGGGUUGUCAUGCCAAUGGCACUGCCCGGUAGCUAAAUGCGGAAGAGAUAAGUGCUGAAAGCAUCUAAGCACGAAACUUGCCCCGAGAUGAGUUCUCCCUGAGACUUAAAGUCUCCUGAAGGAACGUUGAAGACGACGACGUUGAUAGGCCGGGUGUGUAAGCGCAGCGAUGCGUUGAGCUAACCGGUACUAAUGAACCGUGAGGCUUAACCUUACAACGCCGAAG
rnacentral:rRNA from 3 species